AGCGAUUCAGCAUGACCGUUUAUAGUAGCGCAGUCUUAUCCCUUGCCUUUCAUUGAUGAACAGACAGAAAUUAAAAACCGGCGUUGACUGUUCGGGGAAGCCCUUAUAGUAGGAUA
rnacentral:rRNA from 1 species